AUGUAUUUUAGGAUGAUGUGCGCAGAUCCCAGUAGGGUGGCCUUUUGCAGUUGGACACUCUGCUGGCUGUUGUAUUGGAUCACACGUCGGACACUUUCCAAGUGUCUAGAACUGUGUGAUGUAUCGGCGAAUAAUGUGUGUAGAUCCCAUUAUUAUUAUUAUUAUUAUUAUUAUUAUUAUUAUUAUUAUUAUUAUGACACAGCAAACAAGAUAGAUAUGCUGGAUUUCGUAUCACAAAAUCACAAGUCGAACACUUCCCAAGUGUCUAGGACUGUGCGAUGUAUUUUCGGAUGAUGCGUGCAGAUCCCAGUAGGGUGGCAUUAAUGGGCUUGCUGUCCAGCUGCAAAAAUGGUCAUGAUCUGGUUCUCUGAUAUGGUAAUAUUCACACUGUAUUUGUCUCUGUAGAACUGCACCAAAAGUAAGAAAGCUGAAGAAUCAUUGUGUAGUAUACAGAAGAAUUUUUUACAACACACUACUGCUUUGUAUAGGUCUUCCCUAUAGAAACAUCCUACCCAUUAUCACAAUGGCCAGCUUGCUAGCAGUCAAAUACUAUGGGAUCACAGAAGCACAGAAUGACUGGCAUAUAUAGUAAAGGAGAAAAUGGGUGUCAUGAAGGUUAGCACUUAGCUAAUAGCCAAGAUGUUAGACCAGGCGAAGCAAGAGAACAAAUCUUUUACUUCUCAUCUAUGGUUUUUUCCCCCUUUAACACUGGUAGACACAUUUUAUCUAGCAUUUGUCACCUCUGAGAGCUGCAGGUGCUCAAAUGGAUUUUAGCAAAUGCCUCCAACUGUGUGACAUCUGGAAGCUGUCACCAGACUAACAAGACGUAGCCUUUUGUCAUUGGGCCUGCUUUGGCAGGUGCUUUGUGGCUUUAUUUAUUUAUUGUUCCCUCUUCCUUCCAUUGUCAAGGCAAAAUUCCAUGAAUUAGUUCAAGCAACAACAAGGUUUUCCCUUUCAAACUGCUGUUGACCAAAUGUAAACAACACAAUAUUCCAAAAGUUCAUCGUGCAAAUUCCAUUUUCCCCCAUAAUCACCGUUGCAAUUCACAUAUAGAAUCUUCUCAUUUUAUUUCCUCAUCCCAGAGAUAUGAUGCCUUCAAACACAGGAGUUAUUUGCAUAUGGUGCCCCAAAAAUGUAUUUUUUCACCAAUAGCAGGUCUGAUUGAUGGGGAUGAGAGACAGGGCCUUCUCAGUGGUGGCUCCUUGUCUGUGGAAGUUCCUUCCUAAUGAAAUCAGAUCGGUCCCCUCCCUUCUAUCCUUUAGGAAAAAAAUUAAAACAUGGUUAUGGGACCAAGCAUUCAAGCAGCAGACGCAGCAAUAAUAAUGAGAAUGAUUUAUAUGACUAACAAUGGACAGACCUUGGACUAUGACUUGAAACUGAAAUUUUUUAAAUGGAUGUUUUUAUAAUUGAUGUUUUAACUGUUUUUAACUGUAUUUUUAAUAAUUGUUUUGUUUGGCAUCUAAUUAUUGCCAGUUGUAAGGCCAUCCCGGGGGGGGGGGGGGGAUGAGAAGGACUUGAUACAAAUGUAUUAAAUAAGUAAGUAAGUAAGUAAAUGAAAUAAAAUUGUGUGGGAAAGGAAUAAUUAUGUAAUUAACAUAAGUUAAUAAUUUUUAAUCUGAUUUAUAGUGUACUGUAUAAUUUUUAUAUGUGUGUUUAUUGUAAGCCGCCCUGAGUCCCCUCUCGGGUGAGAAGGGUGGGAUAUAAAUGUUGUAAUAAUAAAUAAAUAAAUAAUAACAUGCAUAAAUGUGAUAAUCCAGUCAGAAUCUUUCUUGUUGAACUCCUGUGCCUUAAAAAGGGCAACAACCCAGUUUUUCUUUACAGAAUGAUGGUGACAACACUCCCAUCCAAAAGGUAUCUCAGCAAUGAAGACACAGAUAACGUAGCUUCAAUUCAGAUGCAUUGUGAAGCAAAACCUCCGAUGCUUUGUGGUGAAAUGUGUGCUGAGGGGCACAUCUCCAAAGUGAAGGUCACUUUUCAAUAUUUCCUUUUAAAGGCAAAGGAUGGUGAUGGAUGAAACAAACAUGUAGAAGAGUAAGCAAAAAGAUCCAAACACCUACUCUGAAAUUUCCCCAUACCAAUUCUCUCUCCUCCACACGAUAUGCAUAAACUGCCUCUCCAUUUUUGCAGCCUGCAAUACGGGUUCCUAGUUGAAAGCAUUUUUAGAUUAAUUGUAUAGCAUUAGAAAAGGUUGUAGUUCACACUGGGUGGAAAUGGUAAAAGGCAUUUAGAAUUAUGCAAGCAUCCAAAAGCACGACCGUGAUAAUAGAAUUCCAGAAUCAUAGACUUGGAAGAGAUCACAAGGGCCAUUCAUUCCAACCUCUUUCUGCCAUGUAGGAAGACACAGUUAAAGCACUGCUGGCUGAUGGCCAUUCAGUUGUUUUUUUUUAAGCAUAAGAGAAGGAGAUUUUUUUUAAGCAUAAGAGAAGGAGAGGUGUCCAAUUCUGGGCACCUCAAUUGAAGGGAGAUGUUGACAAGCUGGAAAGCA
ensembl:lncRNA